UUGAGGGGGUGUAUCAGCACACACUCAUUCCAACCCAACAUUCUAUUUCGGCUUGCACUCUUAUUUGGCUCUUUUCUAUGUUUAGCAAGUCAACACAUAUUCAUAUUUGGCUGGCACUCCUAUUUGGUCUUUCUCCUUAUUUAGCUAUUCUACAUUUGGUUUCUCUUUACUUAGUAUGUAAUCGAGAUAUUCCUUCUUCUUGUAAUUGCUACAAUAGCUAGAUCUUGUAAUCUAUAUAUACUCCUAUUGGAGAACAAUGAAAUGCAAGAAUCAAAAAUUAUCCUCAAUAAAGAUAUUACCUUCUUUAGCGCCAUAUGGACCAAUCGGAAGAGGCGAUGCGUCCC
rnacentral:lncRNA from 1 species